AUUGAACCCAGAGGCACCUGACCACUGAACUACAUCUCCAGCCCUUUUUACUUUGAGACAGAGGUCUUGCUAAGGACUUGCCUUAAGGCCUUGAUAAAUUGCUGAGGCUGGCUUUGAACUUGCAAUCCUCCUGACUCAGCCUCCUGAGUCACUGGGACUACAGGCGUGCCCCAACAGAUCCAGCCUAAAAUCCUCUGAUUUGGAGAGUGCCUAGUAGUUUUAAAAAUACAUACAGAUAUUAGUAGUAAAAAACCUUAAAUUCCACUAAACAAGGGUUGGGAAUGUAGCUCAGUGGUAGAGUGCCUAUCGGCAUUCCUAAGGUUGUGGGUUCCAUCCCCAGUACUGAAUAAAAAAUAAAUAAGUAAUUUUUUUCCCCAGAAAAACUGAAGCCUCCUUUUGAUUUAACAGUCCAUUGCUAAUUUUUAUUUUAACAAUUCAAAUAUAAAAUUAGAUAAACUGCAUUUUGGAGUUGAUUAAAAUAUUUUCUAGAAAUUGCACUUUAUACAUCCUAUGCCUUUGGGAAAAAGGUUGGUCUUUUUGUGCCCCUGAAUCUAUUUUUGGCUUCUGUUUAUUCACUCAUUCAGUGAAUUCAACAGAUAUUUAUGGAGCACUUGCUACUAUGUGACAACUAAGUCUUCCUGGGCACAUACAAUAUAU
rnacentral:lncRNA from 1 species